GACGAACGCUGGCGGCGCGCUUAACACAUGCAAGUCGAACGGAAAGGCCUGCUUUCCCUUGUGGAUUGCGGGUACUCGAGUGGCGAACGGGUGAGUAACACGUGAGUGAUCUGCCCCCAACUUGGGUAUAAGCCUGGGAAACUGGGUCUAAUUCCCGAUAGGACUGCAGGGUGGUGCCUGUGGUGGAAAACGAUUUUCUAGUGGUUGGGGAUGAGCUCGCGGCCUAUCAGCUUGUUGGUGGGGUAAUGGCCUACCAAGGCGGCGACGGGUAGCCGGCCUGGGAGGGUGGACGGCCACAUUGGGACUGGGAUACGGCCCAGACUCCGACGGGAGGCAGCAGUGGGGAAUAGUGCACAAUGGGCGGAAGCCUGAUGCAGCGACGCCGCGUGGGGGAUGACGGCCUUCGGGUUGUAAACUCCUUUCGACCGCGAGGAAGCCACCUGGUUGGAAGGGUGGUGACGGUAGUGGUAGAAGAAGCACCGGCUAACUACGUG
rnacentral:rRNA from 1 species